UUUCAUCAACAUCCUUGCCCCAUUCCCCUUUUCUUUUUUUCUCCCCCCCCCCCCCCCCCCCCCCCCCCUCCCCUCUCUUCCUUUCCUUUGCAAAAUGACGAUGUUUUAUGUAUAUAUAAAAAUAAAAAAUAAAAAUACAUCUUUUGUUUCGAAAUGACGUCGUUCCUUGACAACCAAAACGACAUCAUUUUUGCUCAAGGUUUUCUCAUUUCUACACUCCUCGACAGUUCCAUGGCAAUCGCUCUUCAGAACCUUCUCCAUCCUAUUGCAAUCUACUAUUAGCUCUUCGAUUAUCAGUAGAUAGUCUAUAGUAACCUUAAAAUCAUGGUAUAAGGUUUGUUGUCAUGUAAUUUUCCUUCAUAAUUUCUCUAGAUUUGGAUGAUCUUCGUGCUUGGUCAAGAAAUCUAUAAAUUUUUGUAUGUUUCUCUUAUUUGAAUUUAUUUUCUUGGGUCUCUUUACUUCUUUG
rnacentral:lncRNA from 1 species